rnacentral:SRP_RNA from 1 species
GCCAGGCGUUGUGGCGGGCGCCUGUAGUCCCAGCUACUUGGGAGGCUGAGGCAGGAGACUCGCUUGAGCCCAGGAGUUGGAGGUUGCUGUGAGCGUGAUGCCAUGGCACUCUACCCAGGGGGAUAGCUUGAGGCUCCGUCUCAAAAAAUAUAUAUAUAUAUAUGGUUUAUCGGUCAGACUGAGAAGACUUCAUCUUUUUUUUUGAGACAAAGCCUCAAGCUGUCCCCCUGGGUAGAGUGCCAUGGCAUUACAGCUCACAGCAACCUCCAACUCCUGGGCUCAAGCGAGUCUCCUGCCUCCG